rnacentral:rRNA from 1 species
CCUUCGGGUGGCAGCAGUGAGGAAUAUUGGUCAAUGGACGAGAGUCUGAACCAGCCAAGUAGCGUGAAGGAUGACUGCCCUAUGGGUUAUACACUUCUUUUAUAUAGGAAUAAAAUGUUCCACGUGUGGGAUUUUGUAUGUACCAUAUGAAUAAGGAUCGGCUAACUCCGUGCCAGCAGCCGCGGUAAUACGGAGGUUCCGAGCGUUAUCCGGAUUUAUUGGGUUUAAAGGGAGCGUAGGUGGAUUGUUAAGUCAGUUGUUAAAGUUUGCGGCUCAACCGUAAAAUUGCAGUGGAAACUGGCAGUCUUGAGUACAGUAGAGGUGGGCGGAAUUCGUGGUGUAGCGGUGAAAUGCUUAGAUAUCACGGAGAACUCCGAUUGCGAAGGCAGUUCACUGGACUGCAACUGACACUGAGGCUCGAAAGUGUGGGUAUCAAACAGGAUUAGAUACCCCUGUAGUC